GUGUGAUGUUAUGUGUUGUUGUGUUUAGACAAAGUUAAUCAGGGGAUAAUAGUUGGAGUGUGGUGUUGGCAAGAGUCUCCCCUUGCCAACUCCUCUCUCUCCACCUCAAAGCACAGUUCACACAAGAUUGGUGGGGUCGCGUGCAGUCUCCCGCACACCACCCCGCUUCACUGAUGAUCCUUCCGCAGGUUCACCUACGGAAA
rnacentral:misc_RNA from 1 species